rnacentral:rRNA from 1 species
UACGUAGGGACCAAGCGUUGUCCGGAAUCAUUGGGCGUAAAGAGCGUGUAGGCGGCUUGUUAAGUCUUGCGUGAAAUCUCGGGGCUCAACCCCGAGCGGUCGUGAGAAACUGGCAGGCUAGAGUGCGGGAGAGGAGAGUGGAAUUCCUGGUGUAGCGGUGAAAUGCGCAGAUAUCAGGAAGAACACUCGUGGCGAAGGCGGCUCUCUGGAACGCAACUGACGCUGAGACGCGAAAGCGUGGGGAGCAAACAGG